UGGGGAAUAUUGGACAAUGGGGGCAACCCUGAUCCAGCCAUGCCGCGUGAGUGAUGAAGGGCCUUCGGGUUGUAAAGCUCUUUUGGCGGGGACGAUGAUGACGGUACCCGCAGAAUAAGCCCCGGCUAACUUCGUGCCAGCAGCCGCGGUAAGACGAAAGGGGCUAGCGUUGUUCGGAAUUACUGGGCGUAAAGCGAGUGUAGGCGGUUGCCGUAGUCAGGUGUGAAAGCCUUGAGCUCAACUCAAGAAAUGCACUUGAUACUGGGUGACUAGAGGACCGGAGAGGAUAGUGGAAUUCCCAGUGUAGUGGUGAAAUACGUAGAGAUUGGGAAGAACACCAGUGGCGAAGGCGGCUAUCUGGACGGUUACUGACGCUAAGACUCGAAAGCGUGGGGAGCAAACAGGAUUAGACACCCUGGUAGUCCACGCCGUAAACGAGGGUGCUAGACGUUGGCGAGCUUGCUCGUCAGUGUCGCAGCUAACGCGUUAAGCACCCCGCC
rnacentral:rRNA from 1 species